rnacentral:rRNA from 1 species
UACGGAGGGGGCUAGCGAUGUUCGGAAUUACUGGGCGUAAAGCGCACGUAGGCGGAUUGUUAAGUCGGGGGUGAAAUCCCGGGGCUCAACCCCGGAAUGGCCUCCGAUACUGGCAAUCUUGAGGUCGGGAGAGGUGAGUGGAAUGGCGAGUGUAGAGGUGAAAUUCGUAGAUAUUCGCCGGAACACCAGUGGCGAAGGCGGCUCACUGGCCCGAUACUGACGAUGAGGUGCGACAGGGUGGGGAGCAAACAGG